GAACGCUGGCGGCGUGCCUAAUACAUGCAAGUCGACCGCUUCUUUCCUCCCGAGUGCUUGCCCUCAAUUGGAAAGAGGCGUGGCGGACGGGUGAGUAACACGUGGGUAACCUACCCAUCAGAGGGGGAUAACACUUGGAAACAGGUGCUAAUACCCCAUCACAGUUUAUGCCGCAUGGCAUAAGAGUGAAAGGCGCUUUCGGGUGUCGCUGAUGGUUGGAUCCGCGGUGCAUUAGCUAGUUGGUGAGGUAACGGCUCACCAAGGCCACGAUGCAUAGCCGGCCUGAGAGGGUGACUGGCCACGCUGGGAAUGAGACACGGCCCAGACUCCUACGGGAGGCAGCAGUAGGGAAUGUUCGGCAAUGGACGAAAGUCUGACCGAGCAACGCCGCGUGAGAGAAGAAGGUUUUCGGAUCGUAAAACUCUGUUGUUAGAGAAGAACAAGGACGUUAGUAACUGAACGUGCCCUGACGUUAUCUAACCAGAAAGCCACGGCUAACUACGUG
rnacentral:rRNA from 1 species